rnacentral:rRNA from 1 species
GACGAACGCUGGCGGCGUGCUUAACACAUGCAAGUCGAACGGAAAGGCCCCUUUGGGGGUACUCGAGUGGCGAACGGGUGAGUAACACGUGAGUAACCUGCCCUUGACUUCGGGAUAACUUCAGGAAACUGGGGCUAAUACCGGAUAGGAAUCCUUGCUGCAUGGUGGGGGUUGGAAAGCUUCGGCGGUUUUGGAUGGACUCGCGGCUUAUCAGCUUGUUGGUGGGGUAGUGGCUUACCAAGGCUUUGACGGGUAGCCGGCCUGAGAGGGCGACCGGCCACAGUGGGACUGAGACACGGCCCAGACGCCGACGGGAGGCAGCAGUGGGGAAUAUUGCACAAUGGGCGGAAGCCUGAUGCAGCAACGCCGCGGGCGGGAGGACGGACUUCGGGUUGUAAACCGCUUUCAGCAGGGGCGAAGCUUGUGGUGACGGUACCUGCAGAAGAAGCACCGGCUAACUACGUG